AUUGAACGCUGGCGGCAUGCCUUACACAUGCAAGUCGAACGGCAGCACGGGAGCAAUCCUGGUGGCGAGUGGCGAACGGGUGAGUAAUAUAUCGGAACGUGCCCAGUCGUGGGGAUAACGUAGCGAAAGCUACGCUAAUACCGCAUACGAUCUAUGGAUGAAAGCGGGGGAUCGCAAGACCUCGCGCGAUUGGAGCGGCCGAUAUCAGAUUAGGUAGUUGGUGAGGUAAAGGCUCACCAAGCCGACGAUCUGUAGCUGGUCUGAGAGGACGACCAGCCACACUGGGACUGAGACACGGCCCAGACUCCUACGGGAGGCAGCAGUGGGGAAUUUUGGACAAUGGGCGCGAAGCCUGAUCAGCAAUGCCGCGUGCAGGAU
rnacentral:rRNA from 1 species